rnacentral:rRNA from 1 species
UACAGAGGUCUCAAGCGUUGUUCGGAUUCAUUGGGCGUAAAGGGUGUGUAGGUGGCGCGCUAAGUCGGGUGUGAAAUUUCGGAGCUUAACUCCGAAACUGCAUUCGAUACUGGCGUGCUUGAGGACUGGAGAGGAGACUGGAAUUCAUGGUGUAGCAGUGAAAUGCGUAGAGAUCAUGAGGAAGACCAGUGGCGAAGGCGGGUCUCUGGGCCGACAUUGACGCUGAGGAGCGAAAGCGUGGGGAGCGAACAGG